UCCGUAGGGGGCAAUCGUUGUUCGGAUUUACUGGGCGUAAAGGGCGCGUAGGCGGCGCGUAAAGUCGGACAUGAAAUCAUUGGGCUUAACCCGAUGGCUGUGCCCGAUACUUGCGUGCUUAGAGUGCGGGAGAGGCAAUCGGAAUUCUCGGUGUAGCGGUGAAAUGCGUAGAUAUCGAGAGGAACUCCGGUGACGAAGGUGGGUUGCUGGACCGACACUGACGCUGAGGCGCGAAAGCUAGGGGAGCAAACGGG
rnacentral:rRNA from 1 species